UUACUGCAGCUUCAAAAUUAUAGCAGAUUAGAAAAAUAUACCUUAAAGUGCUAUUUUGGUGGACUCUUGAGGAGCCAGUAACAUAAGAUUAUAUAUAUAUAUUAGCAGUCAACUGACUCAUUUUAACUAACUGGAGACAUUUCCCCAAGGUCAUUUGUAAUCUCACAUUCCUAAAUUGCUGUGCAUGGAAGAGCCACGUUGCUGUACCUGUCACCUUUGUAGCAAGGUGAUGUAAGCCAAGAUGGUCAGAAUCUGCAGCAAUGUGUGUGCAGCAGGUUCCUUCAUCUUACUGUGUGGGUCAUAAAACUAUGUUCAUUUAUUCCAUAAAUGCAAAGUGUCUACUCUGAGCUAGAUCCUGGAGUUAGGAAGAGGAAGAGUCCAUUCUGUUCACAGUCAAGUAGCAGGAGGUAGGGAAAAGAGAAAAGUGAAUGGGAUGAAGUGCAUAAUGUUUUAUCUAUUGAUGCUGUAGGCCAGUCAUGCCCCUCAUUUACGUAAGCCUGCCCUCAUAUAGUACCCAGAUUAAAUGCUUUUAAAAUAAAGGUUAGAAAGGAAGUAAAACAAAUCAGAACACUCCCUAUGUUCUUUAGUGAAGAUGAGGAAUCAGAAGAAGUGGCAUAUUUCCUUGUGUUGUUAGUUAAGCAGGUUUGAGCUAGAUACGUCAGCAUUUGCUGACAGGUGUUACAGCAGUCAGUUUUUCUCCAGAGCACCAAAGAGCAUACACUUAUCCUUAGACCACAGGAGCUAAACUGGAGUAGGAGGACUGCUGUCGUUUUAUGACACGAUUUAAAUAUUAGAAAGUAGGGAGAUGUAAUUAUUAGAAAAAGUAACACAGCACAAGUAGAUUAACUGUAUUAAGAAGUAAAUGUAUCAUAUGUUCUUUAGGUAAGUUCAUUAUAUUGUUGAGUUAAAAGGAUGCCUUCUUGGAGACAGGGAAUGACCAAAAUGGAUUGAUUGGCCUUCUAUCUGACAAGCCUCUUGGAGGUAACGAGUUCUGUUACAACUUUAGAUAAUCGUGUUAAAUUAAGCCAUGAGGUAUGACAGGAUGCAAAAUGCAAAGAACAAGUCUAACACCAUGCUAAGUGUGAAUGAAAGCCUGAGAGUUGCCAAUUUUAUAAGGUGUUAAGUAAGACACCUUUUUUGAAAUUUGACCUAAGGGGUAAAAAAGUAAGCCUCACUAUCUGAAAACAUAUUUGCACCAUAGACCUUAAAAUAAUCUGUUGUGUAUCUAUAGACUAUUGUUUUGAUCAUCUGUAUCAAAUCUAUUAAGUAUUAGUUACUGAAUUCUGAAUGUAGGGUUUAUUUCUUUACUCUGCUUAUUGUAGUCAUUGACAUUCAUAACCUUUCCCAGUGAGGCUUACAGCAGAGAGUCUGGGACGCAGGCCCCAGACUAUUAGGAUUUUAUGAAUCCUCCCCUUCUGUUAAUGACCUAGAGUUCUGGUAUUCUCUCUUAGACAGCUGGGGAUCUUUUUGCCAUAACCCUUGUAAUUGUUUAUAUGGCUUUCCUGGGCUGCUGAUGGCAGUACAGCAGCCUUCUUUGUUCCUGGGAUUGUGUUCCUCAGAAUGGAUAGGAAGGAGGCAUCUCUAGCAGACAGAUGUGAGAGCAAUCUCCCCACCCCAAGUUUCCUAUCACCCAUUUUUAUCACCACAAAACAGUUAAAGGCUGAAAAUAAGAUGGCUAAAUCACUGCAAUGAUUUAUCUUAUUUUUGUGACUUAAAAGCUAGUUUGCCACUAUAUGUAUAUGCUCUUGAGUAUGUCAAGCCACGAUUUAGAGCUUGGGCCUUCCUCCUAAUUCCCUUUACCAAAUUCUGAGCAAUGCAUUUUGCUGAUUGCAGUCCAGACUCAGAGUUCCUGCCAGACCACAUCCCUACUCUUGGUUUCUUUUAUGUUUUCUCUUUUAAACACACGUGCUAUGCCAAGCAAUUUCCAACCUAAUGGGAAUCAAUUAAAAUGAGAAAACAUGGAAGUGUAUUCACUGCUUGUUCUCUGCUCUCUUACAUAAUUUAUAAUGUGUUCUACUCAACUACCUGAGUAUUGGUCGGUGACCUCUGAGCCCAUUCGAAUAGACGUUCAUAGACAUUGCCAUCGUAACAGCCAAGUGCUGAGUUUAAGCUCUGAUCCGUGAAGUCAAAAGCAUCAGUUAACAAGAUGGCAUCCUUCCUGUGAGAGAAAACAAGAGUUUGUACUGUGGGAUCAUACCAAUGCUUUUACAAACUGCUUCUUUUUUUCCUCUUAAUGCUAAAAGGACUCAUGAUCCUGACAAAGAAGAAGAGAAAAUACAACAGUUGGACCCAAACGUGUAACGAACACUCUGCUUUUGUGACUCGGGAACUCCGAGAGGGCCCACAUGGCACUCUGCAGAAGCAUCAGGAAGCACACAGAAUAAUUUGGGCCAUCUGUUUUCUCCUGGAAACAAGCGGUGGGCUGGAUUCUCUGAGGAAUUCUCAUGGCAUGUUUGGACCAGAACAGUCUGCUCAGAAAAGAGAGAAGGUCCCUGCCUGGGGCUCUGAGGUGUUGGAGGUGGGACCAGGCUACCUCCCCAAGCAGUGAAGCCUGGCUGCUGGGAAGAAGGCAGAACCCAGAACAUUGCUGCCGUCCUGCAGCCAGGGAUCGCUGCGUAGAGCCCAGCUGUGGCCCUACCUGCCCAGCAUCCACACCCCAGUCCUCUGGCUCUCUUGGGAAAACUGUCCUGUACUCUCAGACCAGGUAGUUCUUGGGACUCACCUCAGUCUCCCAGGCCUGGACAAAUAGAGCAUCCUGUCCUCUGGUCACAGUGAUUGAGCCUGGUGUGGUCAUGUGACCCAGGCCAGCCAAUGAAACUCAGUCUUGGGCCUUUUGCAGGGAUAAUUUGGGUGGGAGAAAGCUGUCUUCCCAGUGGGGUGCCAGCCUGGGCUAAUAUGCCAGCCAACCAGUGGCUUCCCUCCUUUACAUGAAGCAGCCCAUUCUCAUGUUCCAAAAACUGAAUCUAACAGAGGAGAACAGAGCUAAAGAUGGUAUGAAAGGGACCCUUGAUGACGUGGUUUGAACCCCUGGAUCCAGCUGGUCCUGAAGCCUGCUGUCUCUGGCCUUUUGUAUAUAUGAACCACUAAGUUCCUUGUUUUGCCUAAGUGAGCUAGAGUUUGGUUCAGAAACCUGACUAAAA